GCAACCUUACCUUAUCAGAGGGGAAUAACCCGGCGAAAGUCGGACUAAUACCGCAUAAAACAGGGGCACCGCAUGGUGAUAUUUGUUAAAGAAAUUCGCUGAUAGAUGGGCAUGCGUUCCAUUAGGUAGCUGGUGAGGUAACGGCUCACCAAGCCGACGAUGGAUAGGGGAACUGAGAGGUUGGUCCCCCACACUGGUACUGAGACACGGACCAGACUCCUACGGGAGGCAGCAGUGAGGAAUAUUGGUCAAUGGGCGAGAGCCUGAACCAGCCAAGUCGCGUGAAGGAAGAAGGAUCUAUGGUUCGUAAACUUCUUUUGCAGGGGAAUAAAGUGCAGGACGUGUCCUGUUUUGUAUGUACCCUGAGAAUAAGGAUCGGCUAACUCCGUGCCAGCAGCCGCGGUAAUACGGAGGAUCCGAGCGUUAUCCGGAUUUAUUGGGUUUAAAGGGUGCGUAGGUGGUUUGAUAAGUCAAGCGGUGAAAAGUUUUGCCAGCUUAACCUGUAAAAAAUGCCGUUGGAAACUGUCGGAACUUGAGUGUAAAAUGAGGUAGGCCGGAAAUGCGUGGUGUAGCGGUGAAAUGCAUAGAUAUUCACGCAGAACUCCGAUUGCGAAGGCAGCUUACUAAGCUACAACUGACACUGAAGCACGAAAGCGUGGGGAUCAAACAGGAUUAGAUACCCUGGUAGUCCACGCAGUAAACGAUGAUUACUAGCUGUUUGCGAUACACAGUAAGCGGCACAGCGAAAAGCGUUAAGUAAUCCACCUGGGGAGUACGCCGGCAACGGUGAAACUCAAAGGAAUUGACGGGGGCCCGCACAAGCGGAGGAACAUGUGGUUUAAUUCGAUGAUACGCGAGGAACCUUACCCGGGUUUGAACGUAGGGAGACAGGGGUGGAAACAUCCUUUUCAGCAAUGACUGCCUACGAGGUGCUGCAUGGUUGUCGUCAGCUCGUGCCGUGAGGUGUCGGCUUAAGUGCCAUAACGAGCGCAACCCUUAUUUUCAGUUACUAACAGGUCAAGCUGAGGACUCUGAAGAGACUGCCAGCGUAAGCUGUGAGGAAGGUGGGGAUGACGUCAAAUCAGCACGGCCCUUACAUCCGGGGCGACACACGUGUUACAAUGGUAAGGACAAAGGGCAGCUACCGGGCGACCGGAUGCGAAUCUCUAAACCUUAUCUCAGUUCGGAUCGGAGUCUGCAACUCGACUCCGUGAAGCUGGAUUCGCUAUGUAAUCGCGC
rnacentral:rRNA from 1 species